CAGUCGCCGCGGGAAUACGAAGGGUGCAAGCGUUACUCGGAAUUACUGGGCGUAAAGCGUGCGUAGGUGGUGGUUUAAGUCCGUUGUGAAAGCCCUGGGCUCAACCUGGGAAUUGCAGUGGAUACUGGGUCACUAGAGUGUGGUAGAGGAUAGUGGAAUUUCCGGUGUAGCAGUGAAAUGCGUAGAGAUCGGAAGGAACAUCUGUGGCGAAGGCGACUAUCUGGGCCAACACUGACACUGAGGCACGAAAGCGUGGGGAGCAAACAGGAUUAGAUACCCGGGUAGUCCCUGUCUCUUAUAU
rnacentral:rRNA from 1 species